rnacentral:tRNA from 1 species
GACUAGAUAACAUAAUGGGAAUGUAAUGGAUUGCAAAUCUAUAAAUGAGUGUUCGAUUCACUCUCUAGUCU